UUUCAGCUGCACCUGCGCGUGAAACUGCUUCGUGACCUUUUGUUUUGGUUUUGGCUGAAGCCUGGAGGGCUGCUUUGCUAGCUGAUCACGACCAGUAAUGUGCCUAUUUCAGUGUGCGCGUUUGAUUUGUUAAAGAGCUUUAUGUCGUGUUAUCGUGCUCUGCUUCAGUUGCUGCACUUCCAUUUGAGCGAAAUUAUGUAACUUUAUAGGGUGCAGACUGCUAAAUUUGUGCGAUGUGCCUAAUGCAAUUGUGGCCACUAAAAUUAAAGGGGUACGACUGCACAGAACACGGCAGAUGUUGCGCCGAAAGUAGACACGUGCAUUAGCGCAAAUGGAAACUGCGUAGGAAGCGUGGCUCCAUUGAAUUACCAGUCAUGCGAUUCGCUCAUUACCGAUGCAACAAGCGUGGCUCAUUUCACGUGAUGCAUCAAAGUGAAAUUUGUAAAAAAAUAUUUCUUGGCGUCUGUAUGAAGGGCUGCUGCGCACCAAGUUCUCCCGCUGUUCCCCCACAUCUCCAGCUCCCAGUAGAUGACUGCGCGAAGGGCGUGUCCGCUCUCCGUGGUCUAGCUUUCCUGAGUCACCGUCACGCUCUCCGCGUUCGCUGUUCGUGGCUGGCAAAAGCUGGCCGAGGGCUGGGCCGAGCCAGCUGUGUCCACUCCAGCCCUGCCUGUUUCCGGGGAGAACCGGCUCCCCGCGGCUAUCGGAGACGCA